GCCAGAGGGGGCGAGCGUUGUCCGGAGUCACUGGGCGUAAAGCGCGCGCAGGCGGCAACCUUAGUGUCGUGUGAAAGCCCCCGGCUCAACCGGGGGAGGCCAUGGCAAACUGGGUCGCUCGAGCUGCGGAGAGGCCCCUCGAAUUGCCGGUGUAGCGGUGAAAUGCGUAGAGAUCGGCAGGAAGACCAAGGGGGAAGCCAGGGGGCUGGCCGCAGGCUGACGCUGAGGCGCGAAAGCGUGGGGAGAAAACAGG
rnacentral:rRNA from 1 species